CAUCAGAAACAAUUCCUUCCCCAGAGCAUUACUGAUCUAAGUGAAGACUAAGGACAGCCAAGAGUGACCUUUCUAUGAUUGAGUCUUUGAGGGCUCUGAAAAUGUAACCUGUGUUUGGGCCUGAAGGUCUUUGUUUUACUUCAAAUGGACUGUUGGAGAAGGAGGGCAGAAUUCGAUCUUCAUAGUUGUGAAGGGCUGACAGCACUAAAAGUAGAGUGGAGAGAAAAAGUACCAGGGCUACUUUGAUUUUUUGGAUCUGGAGCCAAAACAAAAUUCUUCCGUUCUCACCUCAUCCUGACCUGCAGAGUUCAUCCUUCCUGGAUUUCACAGGAGCUAGUGUUAUCUCUGCUUUUCUGGCCAAGGUUACAUUAGGUGGCUUCUGUUGUCAUAGUGGAGGAGAUAGAUCCAUGUAUGGUCAAACAAGGCUGACUUUCAAGGGUUAA
rnacentral:lncRNA from 1 species